GAUCAAGGAAGAGUGUUUGAGAAUGAAGAUACCCGAUAGACGGAGGCGGCAAACCUUGUGCGUUAGUUAACCAGCCAGGUAAUGGGUGGGCACUAUAAGGAGACUGCCGGUGACCAAACCGGAGGAAGGUGGGGAUGACGUCAAAGUACAUCAUGGCCCUUACGGCCUGGGAAAACACACGUGCAACAAUGGUCGGUAACAAAGGGUUGCCAAGCCGCGAGGUGGAGCUAAUCCCAUAAAACCGAUCGUAGUCCGGAUCGCAGUCUGCAACUCGACUGCGUGAAGUCGGAAUCGCUAGUAAUCGUGAAUCAGAAUGUCACGGUGAAUACGUUCCCGGGCCUUGUACACACCGCCCGUGAAUCACUAGUGAAUUCGCGG
rnacentral:rRNA from 1 species